AUACGGAGGGUGCGAGCGUUGUUCGGAAUUAUUGGGCGUAAAGAGCAUGUAGGCGGUCUGUUAAGUCUGGUGUGAAAGCCCGGGGCUCAACCCCGGAAGUGCAUUGGAUACUGGCAGACUUGAGUAUGCGAGAGGAAAGCGGAAUUCCGAGUGUAGGAGUGAAAUCCGUAGAUAUUCGGAGGAACACCAGUGGCGAAGGCGGCUUUCUGGACCAAUACUGACGCUGAGAUGCGAAAGCGUGGGGAGCGAACAGGAUUAGAAACCCCGGUAGUCC
rnacentral:rRNA from 1 species